GACGAACGCUGGCGGCGUGCCUAAUACAUGCAAGUAGAACGCUGAAGAGAGGAGCUUGCUCUUCUUGGAUGAGUUGCGAACGGGUGAGUAACGCGUAGGUAACCUGCCUUGUAGCGGGGGAUAACUAUUGGAAACGAUAGCUAAUACCGCAUAACAAUGGAUGACACAUGUCAUUUAUUUGAAAGGGGCAAUUGCUCCACUACAAGAUGGACCUGCGUUGUAUUAGCUAGUAGGUGAGGUAAUGGCUCACCUAGGCGACGAUACAUAGCCGACCUGAGAGGGUGAGCGGACACGCUGGGACGGGGACACGGCCCAGACUCCUGCGGGAGGCAGCAGUAGGGAAUCUUCGGCAAUGGGGGCAACCCGGACCGAGCAACGCCGCGUGAGAGAAGAAGGUUUUCGGAUCGUAAAGCUCUGUUGUAAGUCAAGAACGGGUGUGAGUGUGGAAAGUUCACACUGUGACGGUAGCUUACCAGAAAGGGACGGCUAACUACGUG
rnacentral:rRNA from 1 species